CAGUGACAUGUGAUAACAGCGCUAUCAGCAGGCUUGGCCACUACCAGCACAGCAGGAAAUGAAUUCAGCUUCGUAAUCACCUUGGUUUUGUUGGAUUAAUGAGCGCCGGAGCACAGAGCUGCAGAAAAUUGAAACGCUGUCAGCAGUUAUAUCCUUCUCCUGAGACCGGGUCUCAAAUGAAUGGCUCUGCUCCUGAGAGAAAGGGAAAAGUGUAAUUCUGAUAUGUGUGGCAGGGGAAGAGGGAACUGCUUGCCUCUCACAGCAAGCAGCACUCAGCCAUCAGGAAAUACUCCUUUCACCCAGACUGAGUCCCCAAACUGCUCACACCAGCUUGGAAGACAUCAAACCUCCUUUUCCUCUUUUCCAUUCCAGGUGUUUUCCAAGAUGUAGCACAAAUGUGUAUGUACUGUCCACAGAUGAAAAUGCUUCCCUUUCAUGUACUGGCAUCUCGAAAACUUGCGGGUGGAAGUGUAUCUCGCACUGAAGGCAAUGAAAGGAAUGUGACAUUUUUACAGCCCGUUCGUUUAAAGACAGAGCUCGAGCACCUCCUGGGGGUUCAUAUUCUGAAUACAUUGCCAAAGGCCUGGGUGACCAGAGCCCCUACUUCAUGCUAAAUAAAGACA